rnacentral:rRNA from 1 species
UACGGAGGGUGCAAGCGUUGUUCGGAUUUACUGGGCGUAAAGCGCGCGCAGGUGGAUGGACAAGUCGGAAGUGAAAUCUUGAGGCUCAACCUCGAGGCUGCUCCCGAAACUGUUCGUCUAGGGACUGGUAGAGGCUGGUAGAAUUCCCGGUGUAGCGGUGGAAUGCGUAGAGAUCCGGAGGAACACCAAAGGCGAAGGCAGUGUCCUGGGGAGUACCUGACGCUCAGGUGCGAAAGCCAGGGGAGCGAACGGG